CUUCCUGUUAAAAUGAGGCAAUUCCUGGC
rnacentral:piRNA from 1 species